rnacentral:rRNA from 1 species
UUGAACGCUGGCGGCAGGCCUAACACAUGCAAGUCGAGCGGUAACACAGAGAGCUUGCUCUCGGGUGACGAGCGGCGGACGGGUGAGUAAUGUCUGGGAAACUGCCUGAUGGAGGGGGAUAACUACUGGAAACGGUAGCUAAUACCGCAUAACGUCGCAAGACCAAAGUGGGGGACCUUCGGGCCUCAUGCCAUCAGAUGUGCCCAGAUGGGAUUAGCUAGUAGGUGGGGUAACGGCUCACCUAGGCGACGAUCCCUAGCUGGUCUGAGAGGAUGACCAGCCACACUGGAACUGAGACACGGUCCAGACUCCUACGGGAGGCAGCAGUGGGGAAUAUUGCACAAUGGGCGCAAGCCUGAUGCAGCCAUGCCGCGUGUGUGAAGAAGGCCUUCGGGUUGUAAAGCACUUUCAGCGGGGAGGAAGGCGGUGAGGUUAAUAACCUCAUCGAUUGACGUUACCCGCAGAAGAAGCACCGGCUAACUCCGUGCCAGCAGCCGCGGUAAUACGGAGGGUGCAAGCGUUAAUCGGAAUUACUGGGCGUAAAGCGCACGCAGGCGGUCUGUCAAGUCGGAUGUGAAAUCCCCGGGCUCAACCUGGGAACUGCAUUCGAAACUGGCAGGCUAGAGUCUUGUAGAGGGGGGUAGAAUUCCAGGUGUAGCGGUGAAAUGCGUAGAGAUCUGGAGGAAUACCGGUGGCGAAGGCGGCCCCCUGGACAAAGACUGACGCUCAGGUGCGAAAGCGUGGGGAGCAAACAGGAUUAGAUACCCUGGUAGUCCACGCCGUAAACGAUGUCGAUUUGGAGGUUGUGCCCUUGAGGCGUGGCUUCCGGAGCUAACGCGUUAAAUCGACCGCCUGGGGAGUACGGCCGCAAGGUUAAAACUCAAAUGAAUUGACGGGGGCCGCACAAGCGGUGGAGCAUGUGGUUUAAUUCGAUGCAACGCGAAGAACCUUACCUGGUCUUGACAUCCACAGAACUUUCCAGAGAUGGAUUGGUGCCUUCGGGAACUGUGAGACAGGUGCUGCAUGGCUGUCGUCAGCUCGUGUUGUGAAAUGUUGGGUUAAGUCCCGCAACGAGCGCAACCCUUAUCCUUUGUUGCCAGCGGUUAGGCCGGGAACUCAAAGGAGACUGCCAGUGAUAAACUGGAGGAAGGUGGGGAUGACGUCAAGUCAUCAUGGCCCUUACGACCAGGGCUACACACGUGCUACAAUGGCAUAUACAAAGAGAAGCGACCUCGCGAGAGCAAGCGGACCUCAUAAAGUAUGUCGUAGUCCGGAUUGGAGUCUGCAACUCGACUCCAUGAAGUCGGAAUCGCUAGUAAUCGUAGAUCAGAAUGCUACGGUGAAUACGUUCCCGGGCCUUGUACACACCGCCCGUCACACCAUGGGAGUGGGUUGCAAAAGAAGUAGGUAGCUUAACCUUCGGGAGGGCGCUUACCACUUUGUGAUUCAUGACUGGGGUG